rnacentral:lncRNA from 1 species
UUGAAAGAGCAACAUAUAGUUGGACAUGGCUAAAACAUUGGAUUAUGCAAAUAAGCAUUCGUCUUUGACUUUUGUUAAUAGUCAUUGCAUAGCACAGAAGAAGAGGAUAUUGCCUCCGCUUAAGGGUAAAGGGCCAAUUCGGAUGUGUAUAAUCAAGAACAAUACACAGAAUAAUGACCACUGUGUCUUCAUACGAUCCUCCUUCGCCGUAGGCUCACUACCAUAUCUUCCUUUUUCCUUCGCCAUAGGCUCUGUUUCCUUCCCAUUAUUUGGUGGAUUUUAUCAUCAUCCCUGUAAGAUUGUUAUAGUUAGCAUUCAUAGUUUGAAUCCUUAUUUAUCCCCACUUCAUUUAUCUACAAUAAUAUCGUCUAGUAUAAUUAAUAGUACAUAUCAUGAUAAGAGACUUUGACACAAAAACAAAAGUAAGAAAUCACGACAAGAAGACGCUGCAGCUCUCGUUGCCCUAGUUGCACCUCUCCGUCGAGGUUUGUUGCCAACGGCUGCCGUCGCUUUCAUCGCUCGAUCUCGCUGCUUCUUCUCGGAAAAGCCCGUUGCAUUAGAGGAGAGUUUAACCCUAGCCGUCAUCUUCUCCACCCAAUCAUGAGUCAAUGCAAUGGAGCAUGCUCGGGUUCUUCGAACCCCCAGAGAUCCAGCGCGGGUCUUCUCCCCUGUCCGCUGCUCCACCCCUUUCGUUCGGAGCCGUGGGUAGGAUGAAACACGGGUCCCUGCGAAUCAAUCCACCGCUGCAAUCACAGAUCCAUGGGCCACCAAAAAUAUCAUGCCGUUAGUUUCUAUUGGAUGCCGUUAACCGAUUUUGGGUUAGCGCCUCCACGUCAGGUGUUGACCGAUAACGUGGAAUUUCCUUCUUCUCUUUUUCUUCGCCAAUGCCCCUAUAUUAAUUUCCUUCUUCUUUUUUUCUUCGCCAACGCCCCUG